ACGCACGCUGGCGGCGUGCUUAACACAUGCAAGUCGCACGGAAAGGCCCUGCUUUUGUGGGGUGCUCGAGUGGCGAACGGGUGAGUAACACGUGAGUAACCUGCCCUUGACUUUGGGAUAACUUCAGGAAACUGGGGCUAAUACCGGAUAGGAGCUCCUGCUGCAUGGUGGGGGUUGGAAAGUUUCGGCGGUUGGGGAUGGACUCGCGGCUUAUCAGCUUGUUGGUGGGGUAGUGGCUUACCAAGGCUUUGACGGGUAGCCGGCCUGAGAGGGUGACCGGCCACAUUGGGACUGAGAUACGGCCCAGACUCCUACGGGAGGCAGCAGUGGGGAAUAUUGCACAAUGGGCGGAAGCCUGAUGCAGCAACGCCGCGUGCGGGAUGACGGCCUUCGGGUUGUAAACCGCUUUCGCCUGUGACGAAGCGUGAGUGACGGUAAUGGGUAAAGAAGCAUCGGCUAACUACGUG
rnacentral:rRNA from 1 species